GAUGAUUGGAGUAAUACUUGACUGGAAUUUCCCCUGCUUCUUCCUAUAAUGUUUUUAGUGACAUUGAAGAGACUUGGGACUUGAAGGGUUUAAAUGCUGCAGAUAAGUGAUUCAGUCUGGGGGUCAACAAGUACCCAAAGAUGCUGCAGUCAAGCAGAGGUGAAGACAGUCACUUGUGAGGAAUAUGGAAG